UAACAGCAGCUGGCAUCGGUCGGUGCUGGUUUAGUUUCUGUAACCUCAAUCGGACGGAGGGCUGUCGGACAUCUCUCCUGGCCAUGUUUUGUUUUGAUCUGUAACGCGUUGUGUCUGUGCUUCGCAUUCUGUGGAAUCGAUCUCGCGUCUUCCUCAGUGAGCAGCGUCGACGCCGCCACCGCAUUGCCGUCUUCCUCUGCCAGAUCUGCGGCCCAUCAACAAGUUAACCCAAGGGCAAUCAUGGAAUUGCCUUUGAACGAUCCGAAGACGCUGAAUUAAUUGGUGGAAAGGUAGCGUUUUAAUCCUUAUUUCACUAUCUCAUUAGCAUCCUUGGACUAAUCAUACGUUGUUCUACAUCUUAUUAAUAGAUAAUUUGGCUCAGGCUAUGGUUUUUGUAUAUCUGUCCAAAAUUAUAUAUUUAUUUACAAAUUAACAUGCAUGUUUGAAAAAUCAAUAUUGUAAUGUUCAUCUUUUAUUGGAAGUAAAUACAUUUUGUACUGUUACGGCUUACGCUUAAUAAAUACAUGGUUCUGUA